rnacentral:rRNA from 1 species
UGGGGAAUAUUGCACAAUGGGCGCAAGCCUGAUGCAGCCAUGCCGCGUGUGUGAAGAAGGCCUUCGGUUGUAAAGCACUUUCAGCGAGGAGGAAGGUGGUGAGCUUAAUACGCUCAUCAAUUGACGUUACUCGCAGAAGAAGCACCGGCUAACUCCGUGCCAGCAGCCGCGGUAAUACGGAGGGUGCAAGCGUUAAUCGGAAUUACUGGGCGUAAAGCGCACGCAGGCGGUUUGUUAAGUCAGNUGUGAAAUCCCCGGGCUCAACCUGGGAACUGCAUUUGAAACUGGCAAGCUAGAGUCUCGUAGAGGGGGGUAGAAUUCCAGGUGUAGCGGUGAAAUGCGUAGAGAUCUGGAGGAAUACCGGUGGCGAAGGCGGCCCCCUGGACGAAGACUGACGCUCAGGUGCGAAAGCGUGGGGCAACAAACAGGAUUAGAUACCCUGGUAGUCCAGCGCUGUAAACGAUGUCGAUUUGGAGGUUGUGCCCUUGAGGCGUGGCUUCCGGAGCUAACGCGUUAAAUCGACCGCCUGGGGAGUACGGCCGCAAGGUUAAAACUCAAAGGAAUUGAC